rnacentral:lncRNA from 1 species
GGUUCAGGUGCUCAGUCCUAGCCUCAUGUGUGAUUCUUCAAGUACCUUGCCUACAUUUUCUACAGUGGUGAGUCCUCAUGGUUUGAGGACCGAUCUUCAGAUAUUUUCUGUAUUUUAGAGACUAUGUUUUAUCUUUAUUUCAUUUCGCGUCAGUUGGGGACCUAUCCCAACGGCUCUCUAGUUUUUGAUACAUAGAGGUUUUGUUAUACUAGUAUUAUACUGUAAUGUGUCGAGGGUUCAGUAUUGUGAUUUUGUUGAGGUUUCUCUGUAUUGUGGUCAUAUGGAUAGAGUAUCUUUCCCAUAUUUCCUUUUAUGUGAUAUGACUAUGCGAGUGUUGAGUCUAUUUCAUCUUGAAU